UACAGAGGGUGCGAGCGUUAAUCGGAAUUACUGGGCGUAAAGCGCACGUAGGCGGCUUUUUAAGUCAGGGGUGAAAUCCUGGAGCUCAACUCCAGAACUGCCUUUGAUACUGGGAAGCUUGAGUCCGGAAGAGGUGAGUGGAACUCCGAGUGUAGAGGUGAAAUUCGUAGAUAUUCGGAAGAACACCAGUGGCGAAGGCGGCUCACUGGUCCGGUACUGACGCUGAGGUGCGAAAGCGUGGGGAGCAAACAGG
rnacentral:rRNA from 1 species